AUGAUCUGGCUUUCGGGGAUGGAGGGAGGGGGGGACCCGGAGGGGCGGGACGAGCUGCCGCUGGUGGAUGCCUCCACGGACGGGGAGGCGAUGGCGCAGGGGAGUUUCGGCGAGGCAGAUUUUGAUGCCAUGAUGGUGGAAUCUGGUGGGUUGCAGGGCGAGGAGGUGGGGAGUAGCCUGGCGCAGGUACAGAAUAUUGCCGCCGACACGGCGGAGAUUUCUGAUCCUGCCGUACCUCAACAUGAUGCUGAAGCCGAAUCGAACGAAGAUGGUCAGCGUGUUAGAUACCGUCUUCCUCCCCUUGAUAAAGAUGGGUUUCGAGUUUCUGAUCUUGUCUGGGCUAAAUUGCAAGGUCGUCCCUGGUGGCCUGGUGCAAUUUUUGAUCCUUCAGAUGCAUCUGAGCUGGCAUUGGAGCAUCAGAAAGAGGGCCACCAUCUGGUAGCAUUUUUUGGCGACGGUUCUUUUGCGUGGUGUCAGGAAUCCCAGUUGAAGCCUUUCAUGGACAACUGUCUGGAGAUGGAGAAACAAGGCAAUUCUGAUGCCUUCACCAGUGCAGUUAAUUCUGCGCUUCAAGAACUCUCAACGCGGAUAUUGACGGCCGCGAGUUGCUCUUGUCUCCCAGAAUAUCUCUCUGAGAAUGGCCUGUGUUAUCUGCGUGGGAAUUCUGGGCUCAAGGCUGGAGUUACGUGCUCUAAGGUUAACCAGGCUGAGAUAUUGCAAUAUUUCAGUCCAGAACACCUUCUUCAUUAUAUGAAGUCGCUGGCUCUGUCCCCUUGCCAAGGAGGUGUUCUGCAGGAUUUAGUGAUUGCUUGCUCUCAACUUAUGUCUUUCUAUCGGUCUAAGGGAUACGGUGAAAUUGCAUCAUUUCAAUCUGGCAGUGCAUGGGCAGAGGAUGUCAUUGACACAACUGCCACCAAUGAAGUGCAGCCUAGUCAUGUGAAGCCCAAAAGAGGUAGGGGAAGACCUCGUAAGCGAAAGCCUGACGAUAACAUAGAGUUGGCAGAGGGAAGGCCCAUUGUGAAGCCUCAGAAUGAACCGAUAGUUCAUAACAACAUUGGUGAAACAGAGUGUGGUGAAGUUGACAUCUAUGUGAAGAAGCCAGCAAAAAGGAGGCGUGUGCAGAGGCGCCAUGGUGUGGACACCAAGGACUUAUUAUCUGGGAUGGCAGCUUCUACUGAAAUGAGCAUGAUUGGAAAAACUGAAGGGGACAGGAGUGAAGAGUGGAAAUUUUUGCCUUGUCCUAAGGAAGAAACAACGGACCAUAUGCAGGACGCCUACUGGUCUGGACUGAGUUUACAUACUGUCUCGACUCAUAGCCUCAAAGGGGCAAGUGGCAAAACAAGGCCGAUUCGUAGGCGGAGACCGACGCGACGGACAUGUGCACCUUCAUCAGACCUUUCUUCCCCUGUACAGAAUAUGCAGCCUGAAACGUUGGAUGUUAACAGAAAGAUAGAAGUGAUAAAAAGAUCAAUUAUCCAUGUUGACGAGAAGAUGGUCCAUGACGUAAACCCCACUGCACUUGUUUUGUGCUUUGGCAAGUCAAUUGCUCUUCCUUCAGAAAUGGAUUUUAUUAGGAUGUUCAGUCGCUAUGGACCACUAAAAGAAACCGAGACUGAAGUGCACAAGAACACAAAUACUGCUAAAGUUGUCUUCAGGAAACGUGUCGAUGCUGAAAGGGCUUUCAGUGUUGCUGGCAACUUUGGCUCUUUUGGACCUUCACUUCGUAGUUUUCGCCUUGCGAAUAUGCCAUUUUCUCUAACGACUGAAUUGAAUUAUCCUAAGUUACGCUCUGAAGAUGGUGGCAUGGAGAUUCCUGCUUGUAGGGUGUCUGGAGUUGCGCUGGAUUCUGCGCAAAUUGGCAUCGUAGACAAAGCUGACAAAGGUGAAACUGUAGGGAAUCCAUCAGUUGAACACACUGAGAUGGUCAAGCUUGCAGGACAAUAUGAAGGCAAUACCGAGCGUGCUUUACAUGCCGGAGGCAGAAAUGAAGAGUCACCUGAUGUUCUCUCAGAUACCAUGCAAACUGGAAUUGUAGAUGACACCCCAAAACACAAACUUGUGUGUGUACAUGGUGUUGUCGAGGCCUCGGAAGAUACCAUGGAAGUUGAUAAUACGGAUGAGACUCGAGAAGAGACCAGCAUGCCUCGGGACCUGAGAGCUCAAGCUUUUACUGGAUAUGUACAAAAACAGUCUGUGGGGGAUGAGUACACGCUCCAGGGAAUCGAGGGGUCAACAGUUGAAAUGCCUGUUGGGGAGGCUAGAAAAUUUAGCUGCUGCUGA
rnacentral:rRNA from 1 species